rnacentral:lncRNA from 1 species
UGUAUAGAAGGGGAACUGAAUGAAAGCGGUGAUAAUUAAAUGUAAGUGAACAUAAUGAAAGUGUGUCACUACAGAUGAAAGUAAACAAAAUUAGCUCACCUAUCCAUUAGCACUUUAGACAAAGAAUAGAGGUGAUGAUCCUUUGAAACUUCAGCGGCACAAAUAACAUAUAUCACUCGUAAUAUCUCACCUUAUCAGGUGUCUAUAGAUGCAGAAAUUAUUAAUUGUAAAACAUGUGCACAUGUGGGUAAAUACUCCCCCUUUAAAGUGAUUUAAAACGAGUAAUUUGGAGGCCGUAACAAGCCGGUGCUCUCCGAUAGGCUAUCCAAGCCGAAU